rnacentral:tRNA from 1 species
UGGUAAAAAAAGGAGUCAAACCCUUCUAAAUAGGACUACAGCCUACCACCUAGCCGCUCGGCCAUUUUACC